UGAUGUGCUAUCCUGGGACGGAGCUGUGGGUCCCAGUCUUGUACGGGAUGGAGAUCCCAGACCCUGAGGGCUCAGGGCUCAUGGUGCCCAUCCUGGGCAUGGAGACUGAUGGGAAUUCGGGUGACGCCACACCCCUGGCAGGUUCAAUGGAAGAUGCUGAUGGCAAAGGUCUUGUCCCAAUCUCGAUUGUGGCUCAAGCCAUAGACCCCUUGACCGGGGAACCUGGUCCUGUCAUUGGUGCUCUGCCGGAGUGGUGGUGCCCAUCGUCCAAGUGCUGGAGGCCCUGCCUCGAGGAGUGAGAGACCCUGGUCUGGUUCGUAGGAGCCGUUUAUUCUAUUCCUUUUUCCAUUCAUCCAGCAGCUAUGUACGAAGUACCGUCUAGGUUCCAGGCACUGAGUUAGGUGUUGAGAUGCAGAAGAACUAGACGGGGCUCCUGUCCUCAGGAAACUGGUCGGCCAUGGGUUCCAACCAUGAUUGUGGUUUAUAAGGGUGUUAAGGGAGCACAGAGGAGGGAUGUCCAAAUCACAUGCAGGAGAGCUCAAGGAAGGCUUCCCUAAAGAGGCAACACCUGGGCUCAGUCAGAAAGAGGCCUGGGGGGCCAGCAAGCACAAAGGUGGCAAAUGUGAGACCACGACUGUUCUGGGAGGGUGAGAGGCGGCCAGCAAGGAAGGCAGGAAACAAAUCACGAACUGCCUCAGGUGCCUGGCUGAGGCCCGGAAAUGUGCCUUACCAUGAAAGCCAUGGGGAGCCACUGAAGGAUUCUAAGUACACAUGUGAUAUGAUCAGAUAUGAAUAUUUUUAAGACUUUUAAAUUUGGAAAAUUUGGCACAAUACAAAAAGAAAAUAAAUUACUCAUAAUCCUACAUGUCUUAACAUAUGUAAAUGAAGAAGCACAAGGUCCCUCCUCCCCAUUGCUCUCACCCCAUCUGCCAUCAGCAGCCCCCCACUAGACACUACUCACCUCACCCCCUAGUCUCCCACUAAAUGCAGCCACUGUUAACGGGUUGGCACAUCUCCUUCCAGACAUUUUUAUGUGUGUGUAUGUGAAUAUAUAGUCAGCAUUCUAGAAAGUUCCUUCUGGCAGCCGUGCAGAGGAUGGAUGGGAGCAGGGCCAGCCUGGAGCAGGAAGCCCCGUCAGGAGGUUAUUGCAAUAAUUCAGCCGUUGGCAGGUCUCCACGAAAAUGGAAAUGACUUAGGUCCUCCCAUACAUUCUCAGCCCGGUUCAUUUCAGGAACAAAGAUGGAUGUGAUGUAAAAGAUUCUCAUUAGAAGCCAAGACACUUUAAUUCUAGCCCCGACUCACAGUUUCACGUCAGAAGGGAUGAGAUGAAGGGAAGAGAACAGUUUCUACCUGCCCUGGCCUCGCCAGAGAGGCCGGGCAUUA